UACGUAGGGGGCAAGCGUUAUCCGGAUUUACUGGGUGUAAAGGGAGCGUAGGUGGCAUGGUAAGCCAGAAGUGAAAACCAGGGCUCAACUCUGUGGAUUGCUUUUGGAACUAUCAAGCUAGAGUGCUGGAGGGGUAAGCGGAAUUCCUAGUGUAGCGGUGAAAUGCGUAGAUAUUAGGAGGAACACCGGUGGCGAAGGCGGCUUACUGGACAGAAACUGACACUGAGGCUCGAAAGCGUGGGGAGCAAACAGG
rnacentral:rRNA from 1 species